rnacentral:rRNA from 1 species
GAUGAACGCUGGCGGCGUGCUUAACACAUGCAAGUCGAGCGAGGCCCCUCCUUCGGGAGGGUGGCCUAGCGGCGAACGGGUGAGUAACUCGUGGGCAACCUGCCCUCAGCUCUGGGAUAACUCCGGGAAACCGGGUCUAAUACCGGAUACGACCUCCAAGGGCAUCGGCGGAGGUGGAGAGUUUUUCGGCUGAGGAGGGGCGCGCGGCCCAUCAGCUAGUUGGUGGGGGAGUGGCCCCCCAAGGCGACGACGGGUAGACGGCCUGUGAGGGCGACCGGCAGCACUGGGGCGGAGGCGCGGCCCAGACUCCUACUGGGGGAGGCAGUAGUGAAGAUUGCGCAAUGGGGGGAGGCCGGACGAAGCGACGCCGCGUGAGGGACGAAGGCCUUCGGGUGGUAAACCUCUGUCAGCAGGGACGAAGCGAAAGUGACGGUACCUGCAGAAGAAGCACCGGCCAACUACGUG